rnacentral:rRNA from 1 species
GAUGAACGCUGGCGGCGUGCCUAAUACAUGCAAGUCGAGCGAAUGGAUUAAGAGCUUGCUCUUAUGAAGUUAGCGGCGGACGGGUGAGUAACACGUGGGUAACCUGCCCAUAAGACUGGGAUAACUCCGGGAAACCGGGGCUAAUACCGGAUAACAUUUUGAACCGCAUGGUUCGAAAUUGAAAGGCGGCUUCGGCUGUCACUUAUGGAUGGACCCGCGUCGCAUUAGCUAGUUGGUGAGGUAACGGCUCACCAAGGCAACGAUGCGUAGCCGACAUGAGAGGGUGAUCGGCCACACUGGGACUGAGACACGGCCCAGACUCCUACGGGAGGUAGCAGUAGGGAAUCUUCCGCAAUGGACGAAAGUCUGACGGAGCAACGCCGCGUGAGUGAUGAAGGCUUUCGGGUCGUAAAACUCUGUUGUUAGGGAAGAACAAGUGCUAGUUGAAUAAGCUGGCACCUUGACGGUGCCUAACCAGAAAGCCACGGCUAACUACGUGCCAGCAGCCGCAGUAA